GUGAAAAGCCUAACGAGCCUGG
rnacentral:rRNA from 1 species